rnacentral:rRNA from 1 species
GAUGAACGCUGGCGGCGUGCUUAACACAUGCCAGUCGAACGAUGAAGCCCAGCUUGCUGGGUGGAUUAGUGGCGAACGGGUGAGUAACACGUGAGUAACCUGCCCUUGACUCUGGGAUAAGCCUGUGAAACUGGGUCUAAUACUGGAUAUGACUUCUCAUCGCAUGGUGGGGGGUGGAAAGAUUUAUUGGUCUUGGAUGGACUCGCGGCCUAUCAGCUUGUUGGUGAGGUAAUGGCUCACCAAGGCGACGACGGGUAGCCGGCCUGAGAGGGUGACCGGCCACCCUGGGACUGAGACACGGACCAGACUCCUACGGGUGGCAGCAGUGGGGAAUAUUGCACAAUGGGCGCAAGCCUGAUGCAGCGACGCCGCGUGAGGGAUGACGGCCUUCGGGUUGUAAACCUCUUUCAGUAGGGAAGAAGCGAGAGUGACGGUACCUGCAGAAGAAGCGCCGGCUAACUACGUG